rnacentral:rRNA from 1 species
AGAGUUUGAUCAUGGCUCAGAUUGAACGCUGGCGGCAGGCCUAACACAUGCAAGUCGAACGGUAACAGGAAGCAGCUUGCUGCUUUGCUGACGAGUGGCGGACGGGUGAGUAAUGUCUGGGAAACUGCCUGAUGGAGGGGGAUAACUACUGGAAACGGUGGCUAAUACCGCAUAACGUCGCAAGACCAAAGAGGGGGACCUUCGGGCCUCUUGCCAUCAGAUGUGCCCAGAUGGGAUUAGCUUGUUGGUGAGGUAACGGCUCACCAAGGCGACGAUCCCUAGCUGGUCUGAGAGGAUGACCAGCCACACUGGAACUGAGACACGGUCCAGACUCCUACGGGAGGCAGCAGUGGGGAAUAUUGCACAAUGGGCGCAAGCCUGAUGCAGCCAUGCCGCGUGUAUGAAGAAGGCCUUCGGGUUGUAAAGUACUUUCAGCGGGGAGGAAGGUGUUGUGGUUAAUAACCGCAGCAAUUGACGUUACCCGCAGAAGAAGCACCGGCUAACUCCGUGCCAGCAGCCGCGGUAAUACGGAGGGUGCAAGCGUUAAUCGGAAUUACUGGGCGUAAAGCGCACGCAGGCGGUCUGUCAAGUCGGAUGUGAAAUCCCCGGGCUCAACCUGGGAACUGCAUUCGAAACUGGCAGGCUUGAGUCUUGUAGAGGGGGGUAGAAUUCCAGGUGUAGCGGUGAAAUGCGUAGAGAUCUGGAGGAAUACCGGUGGCGAAGGCGGCCCCCUGGACAAAGACUGACGCUCAGGUGCGAAAGCGUGGGGAGCAAACAGGAUUAGAUACCCUGGUAGUCCACGCCGUAAACGAUGUCUACUUGGAGGUUGUGCCCUUGAGGCGUGGCUUCCGGAGCUAACGCGUUAAGUAGACCGCCUGGGGAGUACGGCCGCAAGGUUAAAACUCAAAUGAAUUGACGGGGGCCCGCACAAGCGGUGGAGCAUGUGGUUUAAUUCGAUGCAACGCGAAGAACCUUACCUGGUCUUGACAUCCACGGAAGAAUUCAGAGAUGGAUUUGUGCCUUCGGGAACCGUGAGACAGGUGCUGCAUGGCUGUCGUCAGCUCGUGUUGUGAAAUGUUGGGUUAAGUCCCGCAACGAGCGCAACCCUUAUCCUUUGUUGCCAGCGGUCCGGCCGGGAACUCAAAGGAGACUGCCAGUGAUAAACUGGAGGAAGGUGGGGAUGACGUCAAGUCAUCAUGGCCCUUACGACCAGGGCUACACACGUGCUACAAUGGCGCAUACAAAGAGAAGCGACCUCGCGAGAGCAAGCGGACCUCAUAAAGUGCGUCGUAGUCCGGAUUGGAGUCUGCAACUCGACUCCAUGAAGUCGGAAUCGCUAGUAAUCGUGGAUCAGAAUGCCACGGUGAAUACGUUCCCGGGCCUUGUACACACCGCCCGUCACACCAUGGGAGUGGGUUGCAAAAGAAGUAGGUAGCUUAACCUUCGGGAGGGCGCUUACCACUUUGUGAUUCAUGACUGGGGUGAAGUCGUAACAAGGUAACCGUAGGGGAACCUGCGGUUGGAUCACCUCCUU